AUGAUGCUUUUCCACUAAGCAGCCUGAGGUGACCCCUAAAAAUGGUGCGCUAUUCACUUGACCCAGAAAACCCCACAAAAUCAUGCAAAUCAAGAGGUUCAAAUCUUCGUGUUCACUUUAAGAACACUCGUGAAACUGUCCAGGCCAUAAAGGGUAUGCAUACCCGAAAAGCCAGCAAGUAUCUGAAGGAUGUCACUUUAAAGAAGCAAUGUGUGCCAUUCCGCCAUUCCAACGGUGGAGUUGGUAGGUGUGCACAGGCCAAACAGUGGGGCUGAAUUUUUACUACACAUGCUCAAAAAUGCAGAGGGUAAUGCUGAACUUAAGGGCUUAGAUGUAGAUUCUCUGGUCAUUGAGCACAUCCAAGUGAACAAAGCCCCCCAAAUGCGGUGCAGCACUUACAGAGCUCAUGGUCGGAUCCACCCCUACAUGAGCUCUCCCUGCCACACUGAGAUGAUCCUUACUAAGAAAGAACAGAUUGUUCCUAAACCAGAAGAGGAGGCUGCACAGAAGAAAAAGAUAUCCCAGAAGAAACUGAAGAAACAAAAACUUAUGGCCCGGGAAUAAAUGCCGCAAAA